rnacentral:sRNA from 1 species
GCUCCCUGAUGGGAGUAUUCAUGGUUAGAGUCUCAGUCUCUAUUACGGGCCCUAGUACACUUCAGGAACUCAAAAGCUUUGCUGAUAUAAUGCAAGGUGAUAAAAAAGUAGAAAGACUUGGGAUAAUCUUGAUUUCUGAAGGCAUCAAACGGGAAUUAGAGAAAGCAGCAGGAAAAACGAAGGCCUUUUUAAGUUCCAUGAGAACUACGGUUUGCAAGACUGGUCAAAACAGUACAAUGCAAGCGGCAAGAAUCAGGAAGUGCACAGAAACAAGAAGCUCGGUGCACACUGGGAUCAGGCAAGCAUCUGGGAGAAGACUGUAGCAAGACUGGAUCCUGAGAGUGUUUCAAUUGAAUAUUGCAACUGAAGACAUUCACUCUGCGUUGAUCACCUAUGGAGUGAUCAAAUUUCAACCCUUUGAAGUUUCCUAAAUGAAAGAGGCACUCUGAAUUCAAAGGCUGUUUGAAUGAACUGACUGCUUCAGCACUGUCUUGUAGAUAUAGUCCAUUCAAAUAAAAGACAAAUAUCUGACUGAAUUUUGUUAGCACGUUAAGACAUGUAUUAUAAAAAGGUUUAAGAAGAAAAUAAUGGCCACAAUUCUUCAGAAAACAUGUGAACUAAUGUGACAAAACACUGUGGUGUUGCAAACUCAAGUGCUGCUCUGGCCAAGUCACCUCGCUGAAAUCUCCACUUCCACUUGUGCAACCUACCAAGCCACCUCUACACAGCUGCCAGAGUGAUUACAAAAACAACGCGGGAUUAUGCUACCCCUGCUUAUCUAAAAUUUGUCAAAAUGCCCGUUACACUUUGAAUAAAAUACAGAUUCCUCUCAGAUCUCA